GUGGUGACUCAGAGGUAGAGUGCUUGCCUGGCACGUGUGAGGCCCUGGGUUCAAUUCUCAGCACCACA
rfam:Ictidomys tridecemlineatus contig094313, whole genome shotgun sequence.